GUUUCCUGAGACCUCACCAGCCAUGUGGAACUCUUAUCCAUGAUAUGAGUUGCAGUCCCUUGAUGCCAAUGAAGCCAGAAGAUCAUAAUUGAUGGGCCCUAACCAGGCAAUAGCAGCCGGAAAUGGCAUGACAUCGAAGACAAGAAUUGUACCAGAAUUGACAAGAAUUGACAAGAAUUUACUUGGUGAAAGGAUACUUCAGUACUUCAGAAUGUGACUUUGUUUGGAGAUAGGCCCUUGAAAGAGAUAAUAUGUUACAAGGGGAUCUCUAGUGUGGGCCCCAGUCCAAGACAACUGGGGUCCUUACCGGAAGAGAAAAUGUGGACACACAGAGAGACACCAGGGUCACGUGUGCACAGAGGGCUGACGAUGACCCACAUCAAGAAGCAAAAAAGAGGUGGUCAUCAACUGUGCUGGCACCUUGAUCUUGUACUUUCAGCUUCUAAAUUGUGAGAAAAUACAUUAUCUGUUGUUCGAGCCAGCCAGCUCGGCCUGCGGUCCUUUGUUAUUCCAACUCUAGCGAAGCAACCAGGGACCAUGUUGGAAAACACUCCCAUGAGUGUUUCAUUGUUGUUGCAAACUCAAAACUCUGAGCAGUUUAUGUGCUGAAUUUUCAUAGACUCAUCAGAAUUUUACAUAACUACUUAUUUCAUGGUUUUUUUUUUGUUCUGAAUGUUAA